UAGGGAAUCUUCCGCAAUGGGCGAAAGCUUGACGGAGCAACGCCGCGUGAGUGAUGAAGGUCUUCGGAUCGUAAAACUCUGUUAUUAGGGAAGAACAAAUGUGUAAGUAACUAUGCACGUCUUGACGGUACCUAAUCAGAAAGCCACGGCUAACUACGUGCCAGCAGCCGCGGUAAUACGUAGGUGGCAAGCGUUAUCCGGAAUUAUUGGGCGUAAAGCGCGCGUAGGCGGUUUUUAAGUCUGAUGUGAAAGCCCACGGCUCAACCGUGGAGGGUCAUUGGAAACUGGAAAACUUGAGUGCAGAAGAGGAAAGUGGAAUUCCAUGUGUAGCGGUGAAAUGCGCAGAGAUAUGGAGGAACACCAGUGGCGAAGGCGACUUUCUGGUCUGUAACUGACGCUGAUGUGCGAAAGCGUGGGGAUCAAACAGG
rnacentral:rRNA from 1 species